rnacentral:rRNA from 1 species
GACGAACGCUGGCGGCGUGCUUAACACAUGCAAGUCGAACGGAAAGGCCCUGCUUUUGUGGGGUGCUCGAGUGGCGAACGGGUGAGUAACACGUGAGUAACCUGCCCUUGACUUUGGGAUAACUUCAGGAAACUGGGGCUAAUACCGGAUAGGAGCUCCUGCUGCAUGGUGGGGGUUGGAAAGUUUCGGCGGUUGGGGAUGGACUCGCGGCUUAUCAGCUUGUUGGUGGGGUAGUGGCUUACCAAGGCUUUGACGGGUAGCCGGCCUGAGAGGGUGACCGGCCACAUGGGGACUGCGAUACGGCCCAGACUCCUACGGGAGGCAGCAGUGGGGAAUAUUGCACAAUGGGCGGAAGCCUGAUGCAGCAACGCCGCGUGCGGGAUGACGGCCUUCGGGUUGUAAACCGCUUUCGCCUGUGACGAAGCGUGAGUGACGGUAAUGGGUAAAGAAGCACCGGCUAACUACGUG